rnacentral:misc_RNA from 1 species
UUAGAAUACUGAGAUCACGCAUGCAGGUGAAAGUGAUAGGCACACAAUUGGGUUGUGUGAGGAAUGAAGACUUUUUAGCUAAACCUCAAGGCAAUUGAUCUACUUUUCUCUCAUUGAUAAUUGACUUUUAAUCUGAAAAUAUUCACAGUCACAACCUUGGUCAUGAGAGGACUCUUAUUUCCAUCGUUGCUAUACCUUCUAUGGCGUACCUUUUUUGCCAUGGCAUCACAAUGUAAUGUUUUCUCCUCUACAUACGGUAAAUACUUGAAAAACAACUUGGUUCAGUCGAUCCCCAACACCAACCUCCAGAACUGCACGGAUCAGUGUAUUGUGGCUGGUUUCUGUAGAAGCACAAAUUUUCAUUUCGAAAGUAAGACCUGUGAACUGAAUAUUGCUGAUAAACAUGACUUUCCUAACGACUACACAGAGAGACAAGGCUACAGCUAUGGUGGAUGGCGAACGAAAAAGCCCGUUACGCAAUCUUGUUCAGAAGCAAAAGCUAGAAAACGAUCGGCCAAAAGUGGAUAUUACCUUAUCCGGACAAAGCGUGGAAAGAUUUUGACAGUUUAUUGCGANAUGGAAAAAUACGACGGUGGUUGGACUUUAGUUGUGUCAGUUUCAGCCGUUAAUAAUGAUCAUCUUCAAAGAGAAGAAAACAACUGCGUUGUCAAUUCAAGUUUAUGCGUUCAGUACGAGACCACCGCUGUUCAAGCGAGAAAACUUUCUGACCAAGACAUCAUUGAUAUCAUGUCAGAAUAUGGAACGUUCAGAAUUGAUGUGCUCUCUGAUAGUCCAUACACUGCGUUCUAUGAGAUUCCAAGCGGUGCUCAGAACUUUGAUUCAUCAUGCACAGGUCAAGGACCACCUGCUGGGAGAGCAACACAUGCAAUAACAUUAGCGUUGGAUACAAAAUCUAUGGCAGCGAAAUACAUUCUGGUAAGUUUUUGACGGACAUGAUGAUGCUGAGUGUGGAUCUAUAUGGCAUUCGUCCUUGCAUUCAGACAAACGAGCUUUGUAUGGUUACCGAGUCCAAGGUCAAUACGGG